GUGAAUCAUCGAAUCUUUGAACGCAAAUUGCACUCCCUGGUAUUCCGGAGAGUAUGCCUGUUUGAGGGUCAGUUUAAAUAAAAAUCGGUGUGGUUCCUGACUGUCGUGGGGACGCAUCGGAUUUGGGUCGUCUGGCCUUCGGUGAAGAGACCUAACAUUGUGCAUGAUUUCUUUCUAACGUAUUUAAAUGAUUGUACGUACGUUUGCGAUAUCGCAUACUAGGUAUCUUCUUC
rnacentral:misc_RNA from 1 species